CUAGGGAUUAUUAGAGGUGAUUUGGGGGUAUUGAAAAGGAGGUGAGUUCCAGGUGGAAUCACUCAUUCCCCUCCUACCCACCAUCUGACCUUGAAGGGAAAACUGCAGCGAGAAGCCAAAGACACUCCAGCAGGUUUGCGGAAACUUUUUUUGAGACAGGGUGCUCAAGUCCAGGACUGAAUUUCUGGUUGAAAGCAGAGAACGAGAGAUGGAGAGGACCCUGGCCCUGCUCUGCCUGACUGGGAACAAGGACAACUGAGGAUUGAAGUUGAAUACGAAUGAAAGAAUUUCAAACACCAUUAAAAUGUAAUAAUGCAAAAUGCAGUCAGCACAUAAAUGACAACCCUAUGCACGAGACGUCAUUUUAAAGAAGGGGAAAGUGAGAGGAU